AUGGCGACGACGACGCCUAAGGCGAUGAGGAGGGCGUCGAUCCGAGGGCGGGCGUGGCGCCUGCUGCGGCUGGCGGCGCUCCGGGCGCGGAAGGGAAUCGUCGUGCACGGCCUCGGCCUGCUCAAGACCCUGGGGUGCAGCAGGCGCGGCGACCGGCUGCGCUACGGUGAGCGCGAGUUCUCCAUCGACGAGACUCCAGCGUUCCGGUUCCGCGCCCCCUCCGCGCGCGUGCUCCGCUUCAUUCCCUGCAUCGCCCCCGCCGUCCCGGACACCCCCGACGACUACAGUGGUGACCGCUACUUCUUCUGUGACCCGCGCGAGAGGGACGCGGGCAGCGUCGGGGAAGGCCACGGUGCCGGGCCGAGCGAGUACGGCGUCGAGAACCUCGACGAUUGCGCGGAGGAGCAGCUGCUCCAGCGGGCGGUGAUGGGAGCGAGCUGCGCGAACUUCGGCGCCGCGGAACAAGAGGACGGCGAGGACGCCGGGGUGGACGUGAAGGCGGAGGAGUUCAUCGCCAACUUCUACUCGCAGAUGAGGAUGCAGCGGCAGAUCUCCUGGCUGCAGUACAACGAGAUGAUGCAUAGGAGCAUCUGCUAG
rnacentral:rRNA from 1 species